rnacentral:rRNA from 1 species
UAGGGAAUCUUCCGCAAUGGGCGAAAGCCUGACGGAGCAACGCCGCGCGAGUGAUGAAGGUCUUCGGAUCGUAAAACUCUGUUAUUAGGGAAGAACAAAUGUGUAAGUAACUAUGCACGUCUUGACGGUACCUAAUCAGAAAGCCACGGCUAACUACGUGCCAGCAGCCGCGGUAAUACGUAGGUGGCAAGCGUUAUCCGGAAUUAUUGGGCGUAAAGCGCGCGUAGGCGGUUUUUUAAGUCUGAUGUGAAAGCCCACGGCUCAACCGUGGAGGGUCAUUGGAAACUGGAACGCUUGAGUGCAGAAGAGGAAAGUGGAAUUCCAUGGGUAGCGGUGAAAUGCGCAGAGAUAUGGAGGAACACCAGUGGCGAAGGCGACUUUCUGGUCUGUAACUGACGCUGAUGUGCGAAAGCGUGGGGAUCAAACAGG